rnacentral:lncRNA from 1 species
UUAAUUUGACUUUUUAAAUUACCAAAAAAAAAAAGAGAGAGAGAGAGAGAGAAAGCAGAGUAGGGUUUUGGUGUUCCUCUGGCUACGGGCAGAGGAUACUUUCUUUGUUUUUCUAUUUCUAUUUUUGUUCUUUGUGGGUUUUGCAUUUAGUACUCGUAUGUUUUGCAGUCUUUCACUCUUUGAUUGUGUUUUUUGUUGGGAGGAUUUGGGCUCGUGUUGUGAUGUUUUCGCUGGAUGUCUAGAGGGUCAGUGUAAUAAGCGUCAGAGUCCUUUGGCUCUUUAAAGCGACUCCAUGGUUGUACUAGACUAGAAUUGCCAUGGGCUGACUUUUCUUUUCGGUUGAAAUCAUCGAUGAACAUGGAUGCUCUGGUAGGAUUGGUUGCUUCUGGGCGAGGUGGUAUAGCUGUUAGACCCUUGAGCCGGUUGGCUUGAGUUGGGGUGAAGUUGGGCCUUGAUUUCACCACAACUGGGAGUGUGCAGGGGUGCACUCAAUUGGCAAGGCUGUGUACUUGGGCAGGCUGGAGGACUGCUGGGUGCAAGGGCUGGACU